AAGUGGCCCCAGAGUACUCCCUGGCCCCUUCUGCCAUGUGAAGAUACAGCAAGAAAACGGCUGUCUAUCAACCAGGAAGAGGCCCUCACCAGAAUCCGCCACACUGACACCCUGAUCUCAGGAUUCCAGCCUCCAGAACUGCGAGAAAUAAAUUUCUGUUGUUAAUAAGCCACCUAGUCUAUGACAUUCCAUUAUAGCCUCCCUGGCAGAUGAAGACGCUCAGUCUCCCAGUUUGUCAAACAAGCUGAGCGCUCAGCUAUCUGGGAGAAGAGGCCCCGUCCCGUCUCGGCUGCAGCAGAUGAAGACUGGACCAUAUGCCGAUCGCUUGGCUGGACCCGUGAAUCUGAGAGACUUCCCAUUCCAUUUUCAAAACUUCCAGCAAAGCCAGAUGUAUGAGAAAAAAGACAUCCGGCCUCUGUAAGUUUUGACACAGUAGGAAACAGACUGAUCCCUGGAAGAUCAAUACAAAAGGCAACGCGGCAGUUCGACAGCUGAAAAUACAGGCGGCGGCAGCCAGCCACGCCUGUGGGCAGGGGAGAGGGAGUAGAAUGUACUUACGGACCCAGUAAUACUGACCAUAUUGAAGGGUUGUUCUCACUCUGUCCUGCCGCCCUGUGAAGAAGAUGCCUGCUUCUCCUUUGCCUUCUGCCAUGAUUAUAAGUUUCCUGAGGCCUCUGCAGCAAUUCGGAACUGCACACAGUGAAUCCCAGCCUUCCUUGCAGAUAGGCAUGACCAGGUCCCUGAGUUCUGGCCAGUAGAACAUGGAAAGAGUCACCAAAUGCCCGCCAUUCAAGCCUGGACUGUCAACGCAUCCUGAGGAAUCCUCCCCUCACUCUCUCCCUCCACCUGCUGGCUGGAUGCAGGGGGCUCAGCAGAGGCCUCUGAGCCCAGGGGCCCCACAUGUCCCACAAGGCUUAAACAAAAGAAAACCACAAACGCAGUCAAUCACAGAGUUAUUUUAUUUAAUGUUAUAAGAAGUAACAACCAUCAACAUUGAUGGGCAAUGGAAAACUUUGAGGGAUGGAAUCCUCAGCUUUAGAACGAAAAAUUAUUUUGGAAGUUUGUGUAUUUAUUUUACAGACAAGGGUCUUGCUAGGCUGCCCAGGGUGGAGUGUGGUGGCUAUUCACAGGAAUAAUCACAGAACACUACAGUCUAGAGCUCUGAACCCAAGUAAUCCUCCUACCUCAGCCUCCUGAGUAGCUGGGACUACAGGUACCUCCACCGCUGCACCCGGCUGAAUUCUCAGCUUUAUGUGACAAUGGAAGGGGUAGAAAGGUCACCUGUGAAGAACAGAGCAUUUAGAGUGGACAGCCCGGGCACUCAAGAUCUGGCUCCUGCACUCAUUGGCUGCAUAAAUCUGGGCCAUUACCAAAUUCCUACAAAACCUUAGUUUCCUUGUUUGUAAAAUGAGAAUAAUAACAAGACUAACAUCAUAGGGUCAAACAUUCAUUCAAUAAAUAUUUAUUGAACAUCUAUUAGGUACAAGGGACCAUCCUUGUUUUGGAGAGUUCAGUAUGACGAAGACAGAAUGUGGAGCUUACAGAAUGAGAGAAGGCCCAAGAAGUGCCUGGCAAACCCAAAGCACUCUACAAGCCUAAGCUGAUAUAGUAUAAAGAACAUUACCCAUCUCCCCAAAUCAUUACCCCAGACCUGCUGUAGUAACCCAGGGUUUCAGGUAUGUGGCCAUCUGAAAAUGAUCCACAAACUCAGAGCCAGAUUAGGAUGAGGAGAGAAGGGCACACUCAUCCCAGGAGCAUCACUUAAGGGGGCACCGAAAACUCUAAUUAAGAUAAACAGGACAGGCUCAGGGACUUGUGCCUGUAAUCCCAAUACUUUGAGAGGCCAAGGUGGGAGGAUUGCUUGAAGCCAGAAGUUCUAGGCCAGCCUGGGCAACAAAGUGAGACCUCUGUCUCUGCAAAAAAAUUAAAAAUUAGCCAGGUGUGCUGGUGCAUGCGCCUCCUGUCCCACCUACUUGGGAGGCUAAGGAGAGAGGAUCACUUGAGCCAAGGAGUUUGAGGCUGCAGUGAGGUAUGGUUGUGCCCACAGCACUCCAGCCUGGGUAGCAGAGUGAGAUUCUGUCUCUAAGAAAAAAAAGAUAAAUAAUAUCUUAAUGCAUAUAUUACAGCAGUGUCUGUUCCCUCACUGAUAUAAAGAACUGCCUGAGACUGGGUUAUUUUAAACGAAAGAGGUUUAAGUGACUCACAGUGCCACAUGGCUAGAGAGGCCUCAGGAAACUUACAAUCAUGGUGGAAGGUGAACGUGAAGCAAGGACCUUCUUCACAUGAUGACAGGAGAGAGAAGUGCAAUCAGGGGAAAGGCCAGUCACUUAUAAAACCAUCAGAUCUCGUGAGAACUCAAUCCUAUCAUGAUGCAAUCACCUCCUCCCUCCUCCCUUGACAUGAGGGGAUUACAUUCAAGAUGAGAUUUGGGUGGGGACACAGAGCCAAACCAUAUCAAUGCAACAUUAUAAACAUAUGCAAGGGAAUCCAUAAUGAACAAAAUAUCUAAAGUUUAAAUAAAGACAGGCUCAGUAUGACUGAAUUUUCCUUUUGCCUCAGAAUCCAAGAUAGUUUGCUGCACAAACUCAAAUCCACAAGGCCAAGUGCACGAUCUCUAUUCCUGGGCACACAUUAUGCUUUGCUAGAGCACUUCCACAUUUUCUUUCUUCUUUCUGAAGCAGGACUGUGAGGGAAAAUGCUACUUGCUAAGCAUAUGUUCAGAAACUGCCUUUUCCAUCUUGCCUCUUCAGAUGUUUCAGAAAUGGGGUUUUUGUUUUGUUUUGCUUUUUAACAUUCACCAGAACACAAAGCAGAGAGCUCCCAAUUGUUAUUGGAAGGACGUAGGGAAGUAAAAACAAACACAUAAUUAAAAUAGCACCCCGUCAAGGUCUAGAUUCCCAGCCUCAGAGGCGAAGGUCUGUGGGCCAGGGCAGGGUGCACUCAGGGACCUCGAAAGCAGAGGCGAAAUGAACCCAGAAUUCAGAUCUAAAGCAACAGACCCUUUUCCCGUCAGGCCCCAGGCCUCGGCUGGAUCUCUCUCUCCCCUCUGAAACAUACACACACUCAUAUUGGGUAUUUAAUCAUCUGUAUUUGCCAGGAAACUGCAGUCUUCCUUUCAGGCUGUUAAUACAAUAAAAAUCAAAAUGAUUCAUGUCAAAACAAGGACAUAUAUUUGUGUAGAGGAUUGGACAAAUACAUUACUCUGUGUGUGUCAGUGUGUGUGUGUGCUUGUGUAUGUGAGUGCCAGUGUCUGUGUG
rnacentral:lncRNA from 1 species